rnacentral:rRNA from 1 species
GGUGAAGCCUGCGGUUCAAUUGGAGUCAACGCCAGAAAUCUUACCCGGAGAGACAGCAGAAUGAAGGUCAAGCUGAAGACUUUACCAGACAAGCUGAGAGGUGGUGCAUGGCCGUCGCCAGCUCGUGCCGUGAGAUGUCCUGUUAAGUCAGGUAACGAGCGAGAUCCCUGCCACUAGUUGCUAUCAUUAUUCUCAGGAAUAGUGGGGCGAAUUAGUGGGACUGCCGUUGUUAAAACGGAGGAAGGAAGGGGCUACGGCAGGUCAGUAUGCCCCGAAACUCUGGGGCCACACGCGGGCUGCAAUGGUAGUGACAAUGAGUUCCAAACUCGAAAGAGAGUGGCAAUCUCUAAACGCUACCACAGUUAUGACUGAGGGCUGUAACUCGCCCUCACGAAUAUGGAAUCCCUAGUAACCGCGUGUCAUUACCGCGCGGUGAAUACGUCCCUGCUCCUUGCACACACCGCCCGUCGUUUCAUCGAAGUUUGCUUUUAGCGAGGUGAUGUUUAAUUGGCAUUAUCGAACUUGAGGUAAGCGACGAGGGAAAAGUCGUAACAAGGUA